GAUGAAGAACGUAGCGAAAUGCGAUAAGUAAUGUGAAUUGCAGAAUUCAGUGAAUCAUCGAAUCUUUGAACGCACAUUGCGCCCGCCAGUAUUCUGGCGGGUAUGCCUGUCUGAGCGUCAUUUCAACCCUCAUGCCCCUAGGGCGUGGUGUUGGGGAUCGGCCAAAGCCCGCGAGGGACGGCCGGCCCCUAAAUCUAGUGGCGGACCCGUCGUGGCCUCCUCUGCGAAGUAGUGAUAUUCCGCAUCGGAGAGCGAUGAGCCCCUGCCGUUAAACCCCCAACUUUCCAAGGUUGACCUCAGAUCAGGUAGGAAUACCCGCUGAACUUAAGCAUAUCAAUAAGCGGAGGA
rnacentral:misc_RNA from 1 species